rnacentral:rRNA from 1 species
GAUGAACGCUGGCGGCGUGCCUAAUACAUGCAAGUCGAGCGAACAGACGAGGAGCUUGCUCCUCUGACGUUAGCGGCGGACGGGUGAGUAACACGUGGAUAACCUACCUAUAAGACUGGGAUAACUUCGGGAAACCGGAGCUAAUACCGGAUAAUAUAUUGAACCGCAUGGUUCAAUAGUGAAAGACGGUUUUGCUGUCACUUAUAGAUGGAUCCGCGCCGCAUUAGCUAGUUGGUAAGGUAACGGCUUACCAAGGCAACGAUGCGUAGCCGACCUGAGAGGGGGAUCGGCCACACUGGAACUGAGACACGGUCCAGACUCCUACGGGAGGCAGCAGGAGGGAAGCUGCCGCAAUGGGCGAAAGCCUGACGGAGCAACGCCGCGUGAGUGAUGAAGGUCUUCGGAUCGUAAAACUCUGUUAUUAGGGAAGAACAAAUGUGGAAGUAACUAUGCACGUCUUGACGGUACCUAAUCAGAAAGCCACGGCUAACUACGUG